rnacentral:lncRNA from 1 species
AGAUGAACAAGAGCUUAAAGUGUUUGUUGAUUUGGCGAUGAUUUCAGCGGGGGAAGAUGAUAUGGAAAUUGACCGAAUUUCGUCUAUGCACACCAGUUGUCUUGGGUUUGGAUCAUUAAUAUUUCGUUACAGAACAGGUCAUGGUUUUGAUGGAUUAAUGCAACUUUGUCAACCGGUAUGGCAAGCCGUUGACGCAAAUCCAAGCAUUCGACAAAAAUUG